CUGCAAGUAUGUUUUCAUCAUGAAUGAAGCUGUAUUGUGUGUUCAUGUACCCCCAUGAAUCUUACCAAGCAUGACCCUUUACCCACAGAUUUUAUCCCCUCUGUGGUGGGUUGAAGAGAAAAACAACUGAACAUGAACCAAGAGAAAAUCCCAUCUUAAUCUACAGUAUGAUUAGGAGUUCCUCAAAGACUGUGCUAAUGCUCUCUUCUGCCAAGGAAGAAAGCGUAUUAGACAUUUUCAAAAACAUUUUGGAGUUAGCUGGGAACUCAAAAUCUAUGAAGAGGAAAUUGUACUAGAGCUACAUGUGAUGUGUCAUGGCUGGAAAAACCGAAGUGACAAAAGCAGGUUUUGGUGUGGUGUCAUUUGAUGAGUCUGAUUGCCAGAGAUGGUUUCUGGAGCACUACAAAGCUGGAUACUUAAUUCGUGAUUUUUCCGAGCAUCUCCAUCAAGAUCGUUACAACGCUACCCAAAGCUGGUGCUCCAUACAAACCCCUGUGAUCCACUCUGUGCUGUGUCUUUGCUGUCUAAUUUAAUGCUGUUGUCCAUCCAAUAGCAGGUUCCUCCAUUGUCUCCUUGGGCCCCCCACUUGGAUUUCACAUAACCCUUUGGAUAUCAGUAUUACUCAGUAGCACCAAAGGGGUCUGACACAGAGCAGUGUGGGGAGUUAAGACAAA